GUUUCCGGUGCGGCCGGAAGUGCGCCGCCGCCAUGAAGUCGUUCCCCAGACGCUGGGCGAAGCCGCUGCUGUUCGGGGCGGUGGCGGCGGCGCUGGCGGCCGGGUUCGUCCACAGGCGCAGUUUUUUCCCUGACAUCGAAGAGAUCCGAGAUAGAGAGCGGCAGAAGUAUGGUGAGAAGCUGCAGCUGGUUCUGGAACGAAGGGAGAGGCAGCUGCUGGAAAUAGAGCAGAAGAAAUCAUCCCGGUGAGCUUGGGAAAGAGCUGAACAAUGCCAGUACACGGUGGCUGUGUAUCCCGCUCCAGGGGACUGCAACCAGCCACCGUGUGCGAUCUGGCACCUGGACUGGACAAUUAGACUAAAAGGAACAGGAGUACUGGUCCAAAAUACAGAUAGUGGAAUGCGCCAUGAAGGAUCACACUAAUGAUGUAUCUCUAUGUUGCACACCAUGUGUUGUAAUAAAUCAUUUCUGAAUAUCAUGUUAACA